GAUGAACGCUAGCGGCAGGCCUAACACAUGCAAGUCGAGGGGUAGAACACUUCGGUGUUUGAGACCGGCGCACGGGUGCGUAACGCGUAUGCAAUCUACCUUGUACAGGGGAAUAGCCCAGAGAAAUUUGGAUUAAUGCCCCAUAGUAUAUAACCUUCGUAUGUUGGUUAGAUUAAAGUUCCAACGGUACAAGAUGAUGAUGCGUCCCGUUAGUUAGUUGGUAAGGUAACGGCUUACCAAGACGAUGAUGGGUAGGGGUCCUGAGAGGGAGAUCCCCCACACUGGUACUGAGACACGGACCAGACUCCUACGGGAGGCAGCAGUGAGGAAUAUUGGUCAAUGGGCGCAAGCCUGAACCAGCCAUGCCGCGUGCAGGAAGACGGUCCUAUGGAUUGUAAACUGCUUUUAUACAGGAAGAAACAACUCUACGUGUAGAGUCUUGACGGUACUGUAGGAAUAAGGAUCGGCUAACUCCGUGCCAGCCGCCGCCGUAAGAC
rnacentral:rRNA from 1 species